ACGCAAGUCUGAUGGAGCAACGCCGCGUGAGUGAAGAAGGCUUUCGGGUCGUAAAACUCUGUUGUUGGAGAAGAAUGGUCGGCAGAGUAACUGUUGUCGGCGUGACGGUAUCCAACCAGAAAGCCACGGCUAACUACGUGCCAGCAGCCGCGGUAAUACGUAGGUGGCAAGCGUUAUCCGGAUUUAUUGGGCGUAAAGCGAGCGCAGGCGGUUUUUUAAGUCUGAUGUGAUAGCCCUCGGCUUAACCGAGGAAGUGCAUCGGAAACUGGGAAACUUGAGUGCAGAAGAGGACAGUGGAACUCCAUGUGUAGCGGUGAAAUGCGCAGAUAUAUGGAAGAACACCAGUGGCGAAGGCGGCUCUCUGGUCUGCAACUGACGCUGAGGCUCGAAAGCAUGGGUAGCGAACAGGAUUAGAUACCCUGGUAGUCCAUGCCGUAAACGAUGAGUGCUAAGUGUUGGGAGGUUGUCCGCCUCUCAGUGCUGCAGCUAACGCAUUAAGCACUCCGCCUGGGGAGUACGACCGCAAGGUUGAAACUCAAAGGAAUUGACGGGGGCCCGCACAAGCGGUGGAGCAUGUGGUUUAAUUCGAAGCAACGCGAAGAACCUUACCA
rnacentral:rRNA from 2 species